rnacentral:rRNA from 1 species
GAUGAACGCUGGCGGUAUGCUUUACACAUGCAAGUCGUACGAGAGUUUUUAACUCUAGCGGCGGACGGGUGAGUAACACGUAAGAAUUUGCCUUUAGGAGGGGGAUAACAACUGGAAACGGUUGCUAAUACCCCAUAUGCUUUCGAGUGAAAUGGAUUUCCGCCUAAAGAGAAGCUUGCGGCUGAUUAGCUUGUUGGUGAGGUAAUGGCUCACCAAGGCGACGAUCAGUAUCUGGUUUGAGAGGACGAUCAGACACACUGGAACUGAGACACGGUCCAGACUCCUACGGGAGGCAGCAGUGGGGAAUUUUCCGCAAUGGGCGAAAGCCUGACGGAGCAAUACCGCGUGAGGGAUGAAAGCCUAUGGGUUGUAAACCUCUUUUUUCAGGGAGGAACAAAAUGACGUGUACCUGAAGAAUAAGCAUCGGCUAACUCCGUGCCAGCAGCCGCGGUAAGACGGGGGAUGCAAGUGUUAUCCGGAAUCACUGGGCGUAAAGCGUCUGUAGGUGGUUAAGUAAGUCAACUGUUAAAUCUUGAGGCUUAACCUCAAAAUCGCAGUCGAAACUGCUUGACUAGAGUAUAGUAGGGGUAAAGGGAAUUUCCAGU